GGGGAUUAGCUCAGUGGUAGAGCGUUUGCCUAGCAAGCGCAAGGUCCUGGGUUCAGUCCCCAGCUCCG
rnacentral:tRNA from 1 species